ACAACAGUAGUUUAGUGGUAGAAUGCUCGCCUGCUACGCGCGCCACCCGGGUUCGAUUCCCGGCCAAUGAA
rnacentral:tRNA from 1 species